rnacentral:tRNA from 1 species
GGUAGGAUGGCUGAGAUCCAAGCAAUAAAUUGUAAAUUUAUUCACGAAUAUUAAAUUCUUCUACCA